rnacentral:rRNA from 1 species
UAGUUAAAUUUUAAAAGUAAGUUCUGCCCUAUGAUUUUAUUUAAAUGGCUGCAGUAUAUUGACUGUGCAAAGGUAGCAUAAUAAUUAGUUUCUUAAUUGGAGGCUUGUAUGAAGGAAUACAUGAGAGAUUUAUUUUAUUAUUUAAAGUUUUAGAAUUUAAUUUUUAAGUAAAAAAGCUUAAUUGGUUUAUAGGGACGAGAAGACCCUAUAGAAUUUUAAUAUUUAUUAAUUUUUUUUUUGUUUAGUAUUUUUUAAUAUUUUUAUUUAAAUAUUUUUAUUGGGGUGAUAAGUAAAUUUUAACUUUAUUUAGGUUAUUCAUUUGUAGGUGUUUUUUUGAUCCAUUUUUAUAUGAUUAUAAGAUAAAAUUACCUUAGGGAUAACAGCGUAAUUUUUUUGGAAAGUUCAUAUUUAUAUUGAAGUUUGCGACCUCGAUGUUGAAUUAAGAUUAGAUUUUGGAGCAG